UUGCUCUCACGUGCACGCUAAGGAUUUCUCUAUGGACAGGGGAAAGGUGACCACGACGUUCCGUGUCCAGACAAUGGUAGUGUUGCUCUAGUCCCACUAUACGCGGUGCCCUUCCCUUUCGGACAUGCGCAGUUCAGCCUUCUGAGUUGCGGCUCUUCGCCUAUCAGGCGCCCGGCUCCGCUUCGCCCGGCCAGCGGGAUGUGCUUCCCGCCAGGAGGAGAAGGGUUGUCGCCGCUGCUGCUGUUGCUGCCGCCACCGAGGCCCCGGGUGCUGUCAUGGAGGUGGAAGAGGCCUUCCCCCUCGUGGGCCAGAUGGGGCCUUUCCAGGUCUGGCUCUGCGUCUUGCUUGCCGCGCUGCUCCAGCUCUACGUAGCCAGUGAAGCAAUCCUCAUUGCGCUAGUUGGGGCUACACCUCCUUACCACUGGGAUCUCGAAAGGAUCUCUGCUAAUCAAAGCCAUAGUAACGAAUCAACUAAUGAAGACAGAGCUUUUGGGAAGUGGCUCCUGACAGCCAAUGGGAGUGAAAUUCAUAAGCACAUACAUUUUAGCAGCAACUUUACAUCAAUAGCCUCUGAGUGGUUCUUAAUUGGCAACUCAUCAUACAAAAUCAGUGCUGCCAGUUCAUUUUUCUUCAGUGGUGUGUUUGUUGGAGUGAUUACUUUUGGCCAACUCUCAGAUCGUUUUGGACGAAAGAAAGUCUAUCUUGUAGGUUUUGCCCUUGACAUCCUGUUUGCGGUUGCGAAUGGGUUCUCCCCUUCCUACGAGUUCUUUGCAGUCUCUCGCUUCUUGGUGGGAGUGAUGAAUGGUGGGAUGUCGCUUGUGGCUUUUGUCCUACUGAAUGAGUGUGUGGGCACUGCUUACUGGGCCUUGGCAGGAUCAGUUGGUGGCCUGUUCUUUGCUGUGGGAAUUGCCCAGUAUGCUUUGUUAGGUUAUCUUAUUCGCUCCUGGAGGAUGCUAGCGAUUGUGGUUAACCUGGAGGGAAUGAUAGUCUUCCUGCUCUCUCUAUUCAUUCCUGAAUCACCUCGCUGGUUGUACUCGCAAGGGCGACUAAGUGAAGCUGAAGAUUCCCUCUACCUCAUUGCAAAGAGGAAUCGCAAGGCAAAGUGCACAUUUUCACUUAAGCUCCCAGCUGAGAGGAAUCACAAGGAGACUGGUAGCAUCCUGGACCUCUUUCGAUACAAGAUCCUUCUUGGGCGUACCUUGAUCAUGAUGUUCAUCUGGUUUGUAUGCAGCUUGGUCUAUUAUGGUCUUACUCUCAAUGUGGGUGGCCUGGGUGGCAGCAUCUAUGCCAACCUGGCCCUUUCUGGGCUAAUAGAGAUCCCUGCAUACCCUCUGUGUAUCUACUUGAUUAACCAGAAAUGGUUUGGCCGCAAACGGACACUUGCAGCAUUUUUGUCCCUGGGAGGACUGGCUUCUCUUGUUGUCAUGUUUCUUCCAGAAAAGAAAGCUACAGGAGUGUUUGCAAUUGUCAACAGCCGUUCGUUAUCUUUACUGGGGAAACUGACUAUCAGCUCAGCAUUUAACAUUGUCUAUAUCUAUACAUCAGAACUUUAUCCUACAGUGAUCCGGAAUGUUGGAAUGGGAGCCUGCUCCAUGUUCUCUCGAGUUGGUGGGAUUAUUGCUCCUUUUGUUCCAUCUCUGGUGUGUCAGAAUUUUGCUUUUCUUCCCCUCACCCCACACUCCUCCCUGGAUUGCUGCACUUCAGAAAAAAGUGAAUCAAUUAUAAAUCUGUGCAAUGGUCUCUGCCAUAUGUUGUGUUUGGAGCGACCAGUUUGUUUUCUGGCCUUCUGAGUCUAUUGUUACCAGAAACUCUAAAUAGCCCAUUGCUGGAGACAAUAUCAGACCUACAGGUUUGCUCGUAUAGGAGGCUGGGGGAUGAAGCCAUGUCGCUGCAGGCACUAGAAGGCUCACAGUCUGAUCAUGAUAGUUCAGCUGAGAGCAGAAGUGAAGAUGAGGAGUUCUAUGAUGCUGAUGAAGAGACUCAAAUGAUCAAGUGAAGGAUAAAACACCUCUAUUUAAUGUAAUGUCAUUUUUGAAUUAUCUAGUCAGAUUCAUCUGUGCAAAUUUUAAAGUCAAGAGCAAUCUGUGGGCAGAAGAAAUAUGCACAGUACUGUUGUGUCUGCUUUUAAGAGAAAAGUAGGUCACCAUCAGACCCUUGCCAUAGGAUGACUGCUUGUCACCGGUAACUACUCUGGCAGAUGAAGACUGUUCCUGAUUUUGUCACAAUUGAAGAAUGUGCAGGCCAUACAUGAUGUGGGUGCCACUUGUGAAUCUUAGGAAUGGACCGAAUUGGUAGCCAAACUUCUUCUGCAUGUGUUAGUUUCUUCCUUUGAAGUGGGCUUUUAUUCAGUUGAGAAUGGUCUGAUCAUUAAGCAUGGAUUGUUUUUUCCUGGUGAAACUUGACUGUGGAGAGGCAUAAUUUGAUCCAUUUGAUGAGAACAGAGAUCUUGUGCCAUGAAUGCAAUUCUUGCUGGUUCUUUUUUGUGCAGAAUUUUAAUUUUGGGGCAAUGCAGUAGAUAAGGCAUUCUGUAGAAUGCAGCAAUAUUAAGAGAGCAGAGACCAGCAAGACUAGUUUUUUAAAAAUUUGUUUUAACUUUUGCACAAAGAUACUGCCUUAACACAAGAGCCCUGAGCUUGCCAACCAAGAGUUGGUCGAUCUUACACUGUUUCCACCUUUGACUAUUUACUCCUGUAUAUUUUCUGUGUCACAUAACUUCACCGGGGGAGGGGAGCGCUACUCAGCCAGGUCUUAGUCUGCUUUGGGCUACUCUUGCCUGACAAAGAAAGUACGAGCAGCAGAGUCCUGCUGGUGAAUUUGAACAGAAGGAUAACGAGCAUUGCCAACUUGAGUUCAAACUUCUUAUGUUUGCUUGCUGCUCUGUUUGUUGUUGAAGGAUUACAAUCUCUUGUUCACAGAUAACCUCUUAUUUUUCCAAAAGUGUGUGGCUGUGAGUAGUGGCAAACAAUUAUCCUUUCUCUUCCUUAGGAGAGAAGACUGUUCUAAGGGAUUUGAACAGCACAAUAAUCUGUGUGACGGCCUCCCUCCAUGCUUCCUUGUGAAGUGUGUAAAUAUUUGCAUGCACACUUCUCCCUCCCACCGCACACACACUUUCCUCCCCUGUAUUGUAAAUGGGAGGGAAGAGAGUUGAGGCCAGAGAUGGGAGCCCUUGGAAACCUUCCCAGCACCACUUGCAGCUCCAGAAUGGUAAUGCAGGAAAGGUAGGUGGCACGCAAUGUGCCCAUUGAAGGGUUGCCUUCUGUGUACGAGCUGGUUGUGUUUAGUGGGUCCACUGCUACCAGAGUCAGAGCUGCAUCUGACUCAUAGCAUACACACCUGACUCUAGUUGUUGCCUGUCUCAGCUUACUGUAGACCUCUGCAACUUCUCUUUUUGAAUUAAGCAUCAUAUUUUACCAAUGUGUGUGAAGAUAGCUUGCUCUUCUGCUCUGGACUAGCAUCUGUUGAUGCUCUAGGUACCUGGUAUAUUGUCUCGAGGUAGAAGGUUGGAGGACAUACUCCAGGAGGCCCCUUCUAUCUGCUCCAGGACUUGUGCAGAUCUGUAGGACUAGCCAAACCAAAGCUGCAGUAGAUGCUGCCUGCACUGGCAAGUUUCUGCAGGCCAAUCAAGAUAUCUGAGUUAAAGUGGAGUUUGAUUCCUGCUGAAUUUUGUAUGACCAGUCUUCGCAGGACUGACUUUUCUUUUAUUGCUCUAGAUGGUGUGGCUUUGAGGGCAUUUUUUCCUCUGUAGUUUUUCAAUCCAGCAGGUAUCUAAAGGCAUUUAAAUUCAGAUAAUGGAAUAUUGAUUCCAGACCAUUUUACUUGUUCAGUUUUAGUUGGGGAUUCCAGUUAAAACUCUGGUUAUAGGGAAAUAACAUUUUAUUAGUUGUUGCCAGGACUUAUUUCCAACAGGGCAGAUUAGGCUGAGGUUGGGCAUGUUUGAGACAUCUAUUGGCUAAUGACCAGCAAUACCCCUUUCCUCCCCGCUCCUCCCAUGUCAGCUUAGAUGCUCUCAUUUCUCUAGUUUUUCUUUAACACUUUUGUCUAAUUCUGAGCUAUAUAUUCUGUUCCCACUUCAGUGCUAAAACAUACACCAGAAGAGGAAGGAACAGGACAGCUUUCCCCACAGCACAAUUCUCCUUCCACCUGCCAUUUCUGGAAAAAUGCAGUUACAUUUCUGUGUCUGAUGGGGCUUUGAUCACUUCAAAAGCUCUGUUGUUCCUGAAAGCAGCAGAGGGAGGGCUUGGGGACUUCAAACAAAAAGGCUUUGGAAGAGCAGAUCCAAUGAAAGUUGUCCCUUUUUAAGUUGAUAGAAGUGACCUGAGUGAGAAGCUGCUUUGACACUAGAGUCCAAAAAGCUUAAAUGAAUCUCUUCUCCCUAUCACCCAUCCCCUAUCCAACUUGCAAGAGGUGCUAGUUGGAGGGCAAAAAAACCUUUGGAAACUUUUCAGCAUGUAUCCUUAGAUAAGCUCUACUGGAAGCACAGCAUGACUAAAGGAUGUGUACCAGUAAGGGGGGAAAUUGCUGGAUGGAGGAGCUGUUUCCUGAGAGAGAGAUGAUGGUUUCCCUUGGCCUUGACCAUGGUGACUGCCAUUCUUCAUUCUGAAUUCAGUGCCUUUAAAACAAAUCUAAGGCUCCAGUAGUGUGCACACUUACUAGGACAGCAGUUCCCAGCCUUGGGUCCCUAGAUGUUGCUGGACCACAACUCUCAUUUGGCCAUUGUGACUGGAGUUGAUGACAGUCCAACAGGAUCAGGAACCCAAGGCUGGGAACCCUUGCACUAGGGAGUAAAUCCCAUUGAAGUUGGUGAGGCUGACUUUUGCUUCUGAAUAAGCAUGUAUAGGAUUGCCCUAUAAGACUCUUUCUGAAGCAAGAAAGUAAAGAAAAAAUGCUUAUUCAAACACAGGUGGAAAUCUGGACAUGUGUGUGCUUGCUUCUGUUUUGUUUUUGUUUUUGAUCAAACAAGUUCCCUUGUGAUUUUUGUUAGUUCUUUUGACUUCUCAAUCUGUGAAAAUGGACAAUACAUUUAAAUAAGUCCUGGGGAGCCAAAAAUACACUAAAACACAAGUCCUUGUAAAAUUGGUAAAUCAUGAAUAUUGGGGUAGUGAGGCUGUCAUUGAGUGCUUUGAAUUUCUCAAAUUAAUAUUUUGUAGUUGAGGAAAACCUAUUUUGCCACAUAAUGAAGUCGUUCACACAAUCAAGAACUGUUUUCUACCUGGGUUUGGGAGCUGUGUAUGCUCCCAGUGUUGGGUUGUGUGUAAGCAAGGUAAGAGGAAAACCUGGGUGGAAGUGAUUGUGUGGAAGAAAGGUAGGAAGAGAAGCUACCCAGGUUUUCCUCCUACCUUGCUUCCACACAACCGAAAAUUGGGAGCACACUCAGCUCCCAAACCCACAUAGAAUACAGUUCUUGAUUGUGUGAAUGACCUCAAUGUGUUUUUAAAAUAAGAGAUUUAUGGCAGGCCAUCACUGUUUGAUUGCACAUGUACUAAUAGGUAUAUGUGGGGUCAUUGGUGAACUGGCACAGUGGAAAUGGUGUGCUUUCCCUGGGAAGACCAGUGAGAAACAACUUUGUAAACAUGGUGGGAUGAGGAAGGAAGCAGGCAGGUAGGUAGGCAGGCUGCUUGCAUCUGUGUAGUUCUUGGCUGCACCAGGAAAUAAGCUUUGUCUUGCAGCAUGAGUGUCUAGGAAGGAGUGCUAUGCCUGGGACCUCACUGAUGAAGUUAAACAUGCAAUUUAUUACAGUUUUUAUUGUAAUAAAUUGUAAUUUAUUACAUUUUUUUAAAAAAGAUAUGAGAGUUUUAAGGAACUCUUUUUACCUUUUGGCCUCCAGUCCAGAAAAUACCGUUCAUUGCACCUGUUCACCUGUGCCUUGUCCUAAUCUACUCCUUCUCCAUGGUCUUCCAGGGAUUGCAUUCCGUUUGUCUUUUCCUUAGCUGGCUGCUCCUAUAUUAUCCCCAGGAACUGUCUUUUAUCUGCUGUGUUCUGUUGUAUGUUUUGUUCUGUUGUGACUUUCAUGGUUUAGUAUUGUGGUGAUGUGUGCCAUCAUAGGUGCUUUAGAAAUAAAGCAGAAACAAUUUAAAUAUAUAAAUAAAGCAAACAGCUUUUAGAUGACUGCUCCAGUUCGUCAGACUUAAUAUAAGGAAUGGAACUUUGAUAGCUCUCUCUUGCUAGUAAUGAUUUCAGUUGCUCCAAGAUUGAAACCCUAAUUAUUGUAUUGAACAAUUUAACAAUUUAUAAGCUCUGACAGGAGUAAAGUGUUGCCAUAACUUGAAUGUAUACAUCUGGCAUGGGUUGAGAUGGACACAUACAACUGCUGCAGAGUCCCAUUGAACUGAUUUUGUGCUAUAAAGAAGCUGUAAUGCCAGCUUCUCAGUAUCUAGUACUGUACUUGUGUGAGUCACUCCUCACCAGGGCGCCAUUAGAAGAAGUGAAAUAAUUGAUUUUCCUCAUAAGCACUUUAAUGUCUCUUAAAUGAUUUGUUGCUUUAGAAAUACUACCUAGCCAGAGGUAAAUGCAGAGGUUUAGAAUAAUGUGCAGUGUUGCACAUUAUUUUAAACCUAUUGCACAUGCACAGUGUUUUUGUUGGAAUUUGAUACACAUAUGACUUAGUCUGGCAAAUCUGGAACAAGAUAGUUUCCUUUGGAAUUGCAAGUCAAGGGCUGGUUCUUGAGAAUGAAGAUGGACACAGAUUAAACACUUUAGAACCAAUUCCUGGGAUGUAUGCUUGAAUUGGUUUCUGCAAAUGUGUGUGUAUGCCUAGCCGUGUCUGUGGUGGCACACCUAUGGUGGCACACAUGGCUAAAGGACAAACUUGUGUAGGGGUUCAUUUGCUGCCAAUGGAAUAAAAAUGGCAUCACAUGCUGCUUCAAAUGGCCAGAUAUAUAUAAAAAAUAUUGUAGUACUAUGCCUAAUCCAUGUUGGUGUGUGUCCUCCAUGAAUCACCAGAUGCACCCCAAAGGUUUAUGCUGAGGCUGUGUUAUGGAACUUGGUGCAAAAAAUGCUUUGAGUUGCUGGCAUUGGGUCCUUUAAUGUUAAAGCACACUAUUAUUUUUUUAAAGCACACUAUUAUUAUUAUUUUAAAAAUAAAAACAUAUUUUUAUUUUAUUUUUUGAAGUGUAGCUCUUAAUAAUGGGGUGUGUUUCUGGGGCUUGAACAAGGUUUAACAAGAAACACGCAGGAUAGGCAUUUUGGAAAGGAAAGAGUAUCUUCCUGUCACAUGGGAGAGCAAGUGAGAGAGCAGUCAACACCUAAAAACAUGCCACUAAUUAAUGGGCUUGACUUUAUUUUGAGUCCUUAUUUUGAGUCUUUAUUUAUUUUGAGUACUUCUUUGAGUAUUGUCUCAAAGGAGAGCAGCAUUACAGUACUUGAAGAACCACCCACCAAAAAGAGAACUUAGGAAUGUUUAUGACAGUGAUCAUGGUCCAGGUCACAGAUUUUGGUCUCCAAAUGUAGAAACCAGCAGCUAGUACAGAAUCUUGAGAAUCCCAGCUUUCAUUUUCCUUGACUGAAUACCUCUUACUUGUAGAUAAAACUCUAUACAUAAAAGUUGUGGAAGAUAAUAAAUGGGAUUUCAGUUUUCUAGAGAUAGAUUGUUCAUCCUCUCUCAUCUUACCAUUCCAGAACUCUUUCUUUCCUCAGUCAACACAUCAGAUUCUGUAACUAUUUCUUUUAAGCAGGUGUCCUGACAAGUAGUACUCUAAAACGAGUUAAAUUUAUUUGUUGGAAUUCAGUUUGCAGCUACAUCAUCAGUGGAGUCUGCCAUACUUAAGCUCUAAAUGAUAACCUGUGAAGAAAUGUUAAUUGUGGCUCAUUCAAAGAUGCCUUUUGAAGCCUAUUUGUCUACAGAAAUGUUACUCUGAAGGUGCUUUUUAUGAGCUGUUUUUCGAAAUUCAGAAUUUGGGGCACUUUAAAUACAAGGGACAUAUAUAGACAAUGUCACACUUCUAACAGAUAUGUGCUCUAGGGCCUCUUGCCAUCAAAUGUACUUCUUCCUAGCUGCCAGCCAUCCAGUUGCACAUCUGUGCUGCUAAAAACAAUGACCUGUUCUAUAAUGGGAAGAUUGAACUCUUUCCUGUGUGCUGAAUUUACAUGCUAAUUCCAUCUCCUUUUAAGGUAUUUGUGCCACAGAUGACUAUGUUCCUGUAUCAGAUGUGAUUUGUUCUAUCUUCCCUGUGCCACCCAUCCAUUUGCCAGAUUAAUCCUGCUGCCAGUUUGGUUCUAAGUGUGGAAUCUUUGAUACUAAGAAACACAGGCUGGAGACAGGCAAAUUAAGAGUAUACACAGAUGAGUUUGAAAGAAUAUAAAAACCUGCCAAAUGCUUCCCUGAGGCAAAAGGGGUAAAGGUGCAAACCAUGUAUGGCAAUCCAGUUUUCAAACCACUUUCAGCUCUCUGGGGGGCAGGGGGAGUGUGUCUCCAGGGGCUGGAGAGACAGUCUGCAAAGAUGUGUACACAUCUUCUGGAUCCAUUUGCAGAGAAGAGUAUUAUACAGUGGUAUCUAGACAGAAAUCAACCCAGGAAACCCUUGCCCCAUUGGGAGUGUUGAUGAUCUUUAUAUUGCACUCCUAAGUAAAUACUUUUAGGAUCAUUUUACUGCUGGAAGACUUAGUUUCCCAAUAAGUAUACUUAGGACUGCAGCCUGAGGGUUUCAGACACUUGCCCACCUUGGGUAAGACAUUGCCAAUUUAAAGCUGUAGAACUGCCUUUGAUUUGUACAAUUUGUGUAAUGUGUGUUUGACUGACUUUGUGCCUUUACUUCUCCUUCCUUUCAAAAACUCCUCAAUAAAAGACAUGGUCAUCUGCAA